rnacentral:rRNA from 1 species
UACGGAGGGUGCAAGCGUUAUCCGGAUUCACUGGGUUUAAAGGGUGCGUAGGUGGGUCUGUAAGUCAGUGGUGAAAUCUCUGGGCUUAACCCGGAAACUGCCAUUGAUACUAUAGGUCUUGAAUUAUCUGGAGGUAAGCGGAAUAUGUCAUGUAGCGGUGAAAUGCUUAGAUAUGACAUAGAACACCAAUUGCGAAGGCAGCUUACUACGGAUCGAUUGACACUGAGGCACGAAAGCGUGGGGAUCAAACAGG